CCCUCUUCUUUUUUUCAAUCUCGUCGCUUAUAUCCUUACCAGAAAUUAGACCUGUUUUACUAGCUGGCUUUGAUGAAUCCUUAGUAUUUUUCCUUGGUGGAGAUAGGUCAGGAUCCAAAGAUGGAUGUGAACCAACUUUAACUGAAAUACUGGACGAACCCAGUCUUCCGACAUUCUUCUGAACUUUCCUUGGGGGUGAAAGGUCUGACACUACAGAUCCAUGUAAAGCAUCUUGAGAAGGAGAAUCAUGACGACCACGUCGAGGUGGAGAUAGAUCUUGAGGUGAAUGGUGGCGAGAAUCAGAAAAACCAGAUCUUGCAACAUUCUUUUGGAUUCUCCUUGGGGGUGAAAGGUCAGGUGCCACGGAUCCACGCAAAACAUCUUGAGAUGGAGAAUCAUGACGACUCCGUCUAGGUGGAGAGAUAUCUUGCAAAUCAGAAGUCUCAUAACCGUGUCGGUCUCGUUGUGAUGGAGAGAAAUCUUCAGGUGAACGAAUACCAGAAACAUCAGGCAAACCAGUUCUUGCAGCAUUGUUCAAGUUUUUCCUUGGGGGUGAAAUGUCUGAUGCCACAGAUCCACGUGAAAAAUCUUGAGGGGGAGAAUCAUGACGACGUCGUCGAGGGGGAGAGAUGUCUUGCAAAUCUGAAGUCCUAUAAUCUGGUGAUGGGGUGUCAUUGCGUCUCAACUGCUGACCAGGUGAUAAAUCAGCACUUUUUCUUUUACGGGGAGGAGACAUAUCAAUGUUUGAGUCGAUAAAAUCAUCAGGUUUAGAGGAAAGUGAAACCCAACCACUUCCAUCCUCAGAUAUAGCAUGAUAAGGACGUCUCGCCCUCAGCUGCUCAAGCCUCUUCAUACGCUUCACAUCAAUGUCUUCAUCAACUAGUGGUUUCUCUUCG
rnacentral:lncRNA from 1 species